GAGGAUGUAGCUCAGUGGCAGAGCACUUGCCUAACAGAAACAUGGACCUGGGUUGGACUCCUGGCAUCAUCA
rnacentral:tRNA from 1 species